rnacentral:lncRNA from 1 species
GGAUGAUGGCUCCAUCCUUGGCUGAUAGCUUCUCUGAUCAUUUUGGCUCCUCUGCUGCUCUUUCUUGCAGAAAAUGAGAAUAUGCAUUUGGGAACAAA